rnacentral:rRNA from 1 species
CGGCUUACCCCAACCCUUUAUGUGAACCUACCUAUCGUUGCUUCGGCGGACUCGCCCCAGCCGGACGCGGACUGGACCAGCGGCCGCCGGGGACCAUCAAACUCUUGUAUUAUCAGCAUCUUCUGAAUACGCCGCAAGGCAAAACAAAUAAAUUAAAACUUUCAACAACGGAUCUCUUGGCUCUGGCAUCGAUGAAGAACGCAGCGAAAUGCGAUAAGUAAUGUGAAUUCAGAAUCCAGUGAAUCAUCGAAUCUUUGAACGCACAUUGCGCCCGCCAGCAUUCUGGCGGGCAUGCCUGUCGAGCGUCAUUUCAACCCUGACCUCCCUUUGGGGAAGUCGGCGUUGGGGACCGGCAGCACACCGCCGGCCCUGAAAUGGAGUGGCGGCCCGUCCGCGGCGACCUCUGCGUAGUAAACCAACUCGCACCGGAACCCCGACGUGGCCACGCCGUAAAACACCCAACUUCUGAACGUUGACCUCGAAUCAGGUAGGACUACCCGCUGAACUUAAGCAUAUCAAUAGGCCGGGAGGAA